GACGAACGCUGGCGGCGUGCUUAACACAUGCAAGUCGAACGGAAAGGCCCUGCUUUUGUGGGGUGCUCGAGUGGCGAACGGGUGAGUAACACGUGAGUAACCUGCCCUUGACUUUGGGAUAACUUCAGGAAACUGGGGCUAAUACCGGAUAGGAGCUCCUGCUGCAUGGUGGGGGUUGGAAAGUUUCGGCGGUUGGGGAUGGACUCGCGGCUUAUCAGCUUGUUGGUGGGGUAGUGGCUUACCAAGGCUUUGACGGGUAGCCGGCCUGAGAGGGUGACCGGCCACAUUGGGACUGAGAUACGGCACAGACUCCUACGGGAGGCAGCAGUGGGGAAUAUUGCACAAUGUGCGGAAGCCUGAUGCAGCAACGCCGCGUGCGGGAUGACGGCCUUCGGGUUGUAAACCGCUUUCGCCUGUGACGAAGCGUGAGUGACGGUAAUGGGUAAAGAAGCACCGGCUAACUACGUG
rnacentral:rRNA from 1 species